CAUAUAUUUUUUAAAGUAGGCAACCCAGGGUAUGCAUAUGGAGUAUGUCCAGGUUUUUUUUAGUAGCCACUUCGUCACAAACACUGGCCAAAGUUAGCAUUUAUAUUUGUCUGUGUGUUAAAAAUGCAAAAACAAUUAUGAACACAAACUUUGGCCAGUGCUUGUGACUAAGUGGCUACUAAAAAAGACUGAAUAUAUCCCAUUUGCAAUACCUUGGGUUGUCUUCUUUUGCAAAUGGUAUG